GGUCUACGUGCAGAAGACCUCCGGAGGGACCAGCUCCGGCCCUGCCUGGACCUCAGUCUCACAGCCUCACCGUCCUGGAUCUCAGACCCCCAGCCUCAGCCCUGCCUGGAUCUCAGACUCCCAGCCUCAGCCCUACCUGGAUCUCAGACUCCCAGCCUCGGCCCUGCCUGGACCUCAGGCUCCCAGCCUCGACCCUGCCUGGACCUCAGACCCCCAGCCUCAGCCCUACCUGGAUCUCAGACUCCCAGCCUCAGCCCUGCCUGGACCUCAGACCCCCAGCCUCAGCCCUGCCUGGACCUCAGACCCCCAGCCUCCAGCCCUGCCUGGAUCUCAGACCCCCAGCCUCAGCCCUGCCUGGACCUCAGACCCCCAGCCUCAGCCCUGCCUGGACCUCAGACCCCCAGCCUCAGCCCUGCCUGGACCUCAGACCCCCAGCCUCAGCCCUGCCUGGACCUCAGACCCCCAGCCUCAGCCCUGCCUGGACCUCAGACCCCCAGCCUCAGCCCUGCCUGGAUCUCAGACUCCCAGCCUCAGCCCUGCCUGGACCUCAGACCCCCAGCCUCAGCCCUGCCUGGACCUCAGACCCCCAGCCUCAGCCCUGCCUGGACCUCAGUCUCCCAGCCUCAGCCCUGCCUGGAUCUCAGACCCCCAGCCUCAGCCCUGCCUGGAUCUCAGACUCCCAGCCUCAGCCCUGCCUGGAUCUCAGACUCCCAGCCUCAGCCCUGCCUGGACCUCAGACUCCCAGCCUCAGCCCUGCCUGGACCUCAGACCCCCAGCCUCAGCCCUGCCUGGAUCUCAGACCCCCAGCCUCAGCCCUGCCUGGAUCUCAGACUCCCAGCCUCGGCCCUGCCUGUCUCAGACCCCCAGCCUCAGCCCUGCCUGGACCUCAGGCUCCCAGCCUCAGCCCUGCCUGGAUCUCAGACUCCCAGCCUCAGCCCUGCCUGGAUCUCAGACCCCCAGCCUCAGCCCUGCCUGGAUCUCAGACUCCCAGCCUCAGCCUGCCUGGACCUCAGGCUCCCAGCCUCGACCCUGCCUGGACCUCAGGCUCCCAGCCUCGACCCUGCCUGGACCUCAGGCUCCCAGCCUCGACCCUGCCUGGACCUCAGACCCCCAGCCUCAGCCUGCCUGGACCUCAGACCCCCAGCCUCCAGCCCUGCCUGGACCUCAGACCCCCAGCCUCAGCCCUGCCUGGACCUCAGACCCCCAGCCUCAGCCUGCCUGGACCUCAGACCCCCAGACUCAGCCCCACGUGGACCUCAGACUCCCAGCCUCAGCCCUGCCUGGACCUCAGACCCCCAGCCUCCAGCCCUGCCUGGACUCAGACCCCCAGACUCAGCCCCACGUGGACCUCAGACUCCCAGCCUCAGCCCUGCCUGGAUCUCAGACUCCCAGCCUCAGCCCUGCCUGGACCUCAGACCCCCAGCCUCAGCCCCUCCUGGAUUUCAGACCCCCAGCCUCACCCCUCCUGGACCUCAGUCUCCCAGCCUCACCCGUCCUGCAGGUCAGAGGCCCAGCCUCACCCCUCCUGGAUCUCAGAUUCCCAGUCUCAGCCUUCCUGGAGUUCAGAGUCCAAUGCUCAGCCCUGCCUGGACCUCAGUCUCCCAGCCUCAGCCCUGUCUGGAUCUCAACUCCCAGCCUCAGCCCCUCCUGGAUUUCAGACCCCCAGCCUCAGCCCUGCCUGGACCUCAGACCCCCAGACUCAGCCCUGCGCGGACCUCAGACUCCCAGCCUCAGCCCUGGCCUGGACCUCAGACCCCCAGCCUCAGCCCUGCCUGGAUCUCAGACCCCCAGCCUCAGCCUGCCUGGACCUCAGGCUCCCAGCCUCAGCCCUUGCCUGGACCUCAGUCUCCCAGCCUCAGCCCUGCCUGGAUCUCAGGACCCCCAGCCUCAGCCCUGCCUGACCUCAGGCUCCCAGCCUCAGCCCUGCCUGGAUCUCAGACCCCCAGCCUCCAGCCCUGCCUGGAUCACAGACCCCCAGCCUCAGCCCUGCCUGGAACCUCAGACCCCCAGCCUCAGCCUGCCUGGACCUCAGACCCCCAGACUCAGCCCCACGUGGACCUCAGACCCCCAGCCUCAGCCUGCCUGGAUCUCAGACUCCCAGCCUCAGCCCUGCCUGGACCUCAGACCCCCAGCCUCACCCGUCCUGGAGGUCAGAGGCCCAGCCUCACCCCUCCUGGACCUCAGUCUCCCAGCCUCACCCGUCCUGGAGGUCAGAGGCCCAGCCUCACCCCUCCUGGAUCUCAGACUCCCAGCCUCAGCCCCUCCUGGAUUUCAGACCCCCCAGCUCAGCCCUGCCUGGAUCUCAGAUUCCCAGUCUCAGCCUUCCUGGAGUUCAGAGUCCAAUGCUCAGCCCUGCCUGGACCUCAGACCCCCCAGCUCAGCCCUGCCUGGACUCAGACCCCCAGCCCAGCCCUGCCUGGAUCUCAACCCCCAGCCUCAGCCCUGCCUGGACCUCAGACCCCCAGCCUCAGCCCUGCCUGGACCUCAGUCUCCCAGCCUCAGCCCUGCCUGGAUCGCAGACCCCCAGCCUCAGCCCUGCCUGGACCUCAGACCCCCAGCCUCAGCCCUGCCUGGACCUCAGGCUCCCAGCCUCAGCCCUGCCUGGAUCACAGACCCCCAGCCUCAGCCCUGCCUGGACCUCAGACCCCCAGCCUCAGCCCUGCCUGGACCUCAGACCCCCAGCCUCAGCCCUGCCUGGAUCUCAGACCCCCAGCCUCAGCCCUGCCUGGACCUCAGACUCCCAGCCUCAGCCCUGCCUGGAUCUCAGACCCCCAGCCUCAGCCCUGCCUGGACCUCAGGCUCCCAGCCUCAGCCCUGCCUGCAUCUCAGACUCCCAGCCUCCAGGACUGGGAGAGAACAGAUGUGAGUUGUUUAAGCCACCAGGUGUGUGCUAUUUGUCACAGAGCCCGUGCUGACUCACACACAUCCCUACGCGUUUUCACUCCCCUUGAAGACCC
ensembl:lncRNA